AACGAACGCUGGCGGCAUGCCUAACACAUGCAAGUCGAACGAGACCUUCGGGUCUAGUGGCGCACGGGUGCGUAACGCGUGGGAACCUGCCCUUAGGUUCGGAAUAACUCCCCGAAAGGGGUGCUAAUACCGGAUAAUGUCUUCGGACCAAAGAUUUAUCGCCUUUGGAUGGGCCCGCGUUGGAUUAGCUAGUUGGUAGGGUAAAAGCCUACCAAGGCGACGAUCCAUAGCUGGUCUGAGAGGAUGAUCAGCCACACUGGGACUGAGACACGGCCCAGACCCCUACGGGGGGGAGGAGUGGGGAAUAUUGGACAAUGGGCGGAAGCCUGAUCCAGCAAUGCCGCGUGAGUGAUGAAGGCCUUAGGGUUGUAAAGCUCUUUUACCCGGGAUGAUAAUGACAGUACCGGGAGAAUAAGCUCCGGCUAACUCCGUG
rnacentral:rRNA from 1 species